UACGUAGGGGGCAAGCGUUAUCCGGAUUUACUGGGUGUAAAGGGAGCGUAGACGGCAGUGCAAGUCUGGAGUGAAAGGCGGGGGCUCAACCCCCGGACUGCUCUGGAAACUGUACGGCUGGAGUGCAGGAGAGGUAAGCGGAAUUCCUGGUGUAGCGGUGAAAUGCGUAGAUAUCAGGAGGAACACCGGCGGCGAAAGCGGCUCUCUGGUCUGUAACUGACGCUGAGGUUCGAAAGCGUGGGUAGCAAACAGG
rnacentral:rRNA from 1 species